CGCCUCCUCUGCCGAGGGUCCGGCUUCAAUUUUGGGAGCUACUCCAUGUACUGGAUGCGCCAGAGACCCGGGCAGGGGCUGGAAUACGUGGCAGGGAUCUACAGCACUGGUGGCACCACCAACUACGCGCCCUCAGUCAAGGGCCGGUUCAGGAUCUCCAGGGACAACGGGCAGAGCUCGGUGACGCUGACCAUGAACAGCCUCAAGGACGAGGAUUCCGGAUCCUAUUUCUGCGCCAAAGAGGCUGGUGCUGGUAGUUGGAUUGCUGCUGCUGAUGGUGAAGAUGCUCCUGGUGGAUCCCUGGCCCCAUCUCAGUGUCCCCGCCUGUCCCCAGAGCCUGGAUCGUUCCCCCAAACCUCAGCCCUUGACCCUUUGUCUCAAGUCUCCCCAAUUUUCACCAAUGCUGAGCUCUGA